UCAAACACCAAAACAAAACCAAAUUCCAUAUUUUCCUCUGAAAAUUUCUCCCAUUUCCCUUAAUUUUCUUGCUAACCAAACACGCUCAUCACCGAUAGAAAGAUCAAACUUAUUUUGGCCUUCGUAGAAGGUGAUUGCUUGGAGACGGUUGAUCAAUCAGGUUUCAAGGCAUCAAUUAUAGUUGGGACAAUAUGGAAGCUUGUUCAGUAGAACUCAUCUUUCUGGUACAGGACUUCUGAGUGGCCAACAAAGGUUUACGUCAAGCUAUGUAGGCAAUUUAGCUCGCAGGGUCCGAGGGGCAUACGAGGCUAGUGAAGCUGCUCUCUUAAGAGAGCUUUACCAUAAAAAUGAUCCUGAAGCAGUGAUAAGGCUAUUUGAAACUCAGCCAUCAUUACAUUCUAACCGUUCUGCGCUUUCCGAAUAUGUUAAAGCAUUAGUCAAAGUUGACAGGCUUGAUGAAAGUGAGUUGCUUAAG